rnacentral:lncRNA from 1 species
AACUAUGCACAAAAGGAUAAAAAUAAAAUACUAAAACGGAAGAAAAUUAUGAAGAAGGAAGAGAGGGAGGUAGAGGAAGAAAAGAACAGGAAGGAGAAAUCUCCUUCCAUUUUCAGCCCAACAGAGGGGAAUUUAUACCCAAAUGUCCUCAUCAGAUUGACAAAGCAUCCUGCAGGGACAUACCAGAGCUCAUUUAAUCCCUGGGAGAGGAUUGUAGGUGAUCAUCUCCCAUGCUCGGAUGCUCGGUCUCAGGCUGUGGUGUUUGGCAGAAAUCAGUGAUUUUUCAGAACGUUGGAAGGUGCCCACAACUGGCACUAGUGUAUUUUUUGUCCCUCUAAAGCACCUAUGGACAGUCCUAUGCUUUUCCAGACCAGAGGAAGCUUAGGAAGGCUUUGCUUCAUUCUAGGUCAGCCUGCCUGCAGAUAUAGUCCCUUUCCUCUGCUGCCUUAUUGUCAGUUACAUUAAAUACAGUCUAUGACAAGAGUUUAUUAACACUGUACUGUAGUCAACAUCCAUUAGAGUGUAUACAAUGGCCCCCAUGCAGAAAACGAUUCCAUUGAGCCAAUAGUCAGUAAUGAUUUCAUUAGUGAUAGUGAAAAUCGUCCUACACAAUAACCCUUCUGUCUCUUGUCUCUCUCACACCAGCCAUGAAGGUUUUCAAAGGUAAGUGUAGGUUAAUUUAUUUAUUUUUUCUUUAUAUUUUGUAUUUUCUUUACUAUUUUGUAUUAUAUUACAGUAUUGUAAUAAUUUCU